GCGUCCCACUACAUCCCAUACAGGUAGUAGUUGGCAUUAAAAGGGAAAUUGCCCGCCAUCCUGCAUUUAUUUCUACUUUUUAGUUUGUGAUUUGAUUUUGAUUCAAUGGAAGACCACAAAUCCCCUGUUGCUGCUGCUAUGGGUAACAAGAAAAGAGCAAGAAAUUGCUGCUUCGUCUGCCUCGCUGUCCUUGUUCUUCUAGGGCUUCUCUUACUCACCUUGGGCUUAACAGUUUUCAAAACCAAAAAGCCUGUCACGACAGUAGAUGCCGUUACCCUAGAUGAUUUGGAUGUUUCAUUUGACAUCGCACGACUCCAAGUUCACCUCAAUGUCACCGUUAAAGCAGAUCUCUCUAUCCAAAAUCCCAACCGGGUCAGCUUCAAAUACGACACCACAUCUGCUCUGCUUCAGUACAAAGGAAAAGCUAUUGGAGAGGCCCCUCUUCCGGCAGCCAAAAUUGGCUCCCGUCAAACGCAUCCAAUGAAUAUUUCCCUCACCGUCAUGGCCGAUCGAUUGCUUUCAGACUCCACUUUGUAUUCCGAUGUUAUGGCCGGUGCCUUACACCUCACUACUUACGUCAAAUUGUCUGGGGUUGUUCAUCUUCUAUUCAAGAUUCAUGUCAAGACUUCCUCUACCUGCGAUUUGUUCAUCGAUGUUCUUAACAGGAGGCUCCUUAAUCAGACUUGUCAUUAUAAGACAAAGCUAUGAUUCUCCAUACCACUUACUGUUUUAUUUGUUUUCUCUUCACUACUGUUUUGGAUGAGAUUUGAUUUUCGAUUUUCAUUUUUAUUAUAUUAGAUCCCACUUAAUAUAUUGUCCU
rnacentral:misc_RNA from 1 species